CAAAGAACUUUGAAGAGAGAGUUCAAGAGGGCGUGAAACCGAUUAGAGGGAAACGGGUAGAGCCAAUGAAAGCCAGCAGCAUUCAGCCUUUGUGCAAGCAAGGGUGUAUUUGCUGCUGGUAGCGCUGAAAGGGGUGACACUUGUUUCUGAAGCUGAUUCAGAGGACCACAUUUGUGGAACCCUGGGCCAGUCAAAGAGAUCUUGUGUCACCUUAGUGGUGUCUGCUCUGGCAACGGCGCCCAUCUGGGUUGUCGAGUGGCCUUGGUGGUGCAGGGGAGCUUGCUCCCCGGCUGCUCUGGUUGCUUGAGAAUUGUAGAAGGGCAUGAACACUGUUUCAGUGUCAAAGUUGGCGGCCUACCUGACCCGUCUUGAAACACGGACCAAGGAGUCUAACAUGUGCGCAAGUUUAAAGGUGGUAAGCUUAAAAAGCGCAAUGAAAGUAAAGGUCAGUUUAACUGGCUUAUAUGGGACCAGGACUUAACCGUUGUGGGCACCAUAGUCCCGUCGCGUCUGCAUGUCAGUGCGGCGGAGACAGAGCGUACACGUUGGGACCCGAAAGAUGGUGAACUAUGCCUGAGCAGGAUGAAGCCAGGGGAAACUCUGGUGGAGGUCCGAAGCGGUUCUGACGUGCAAAUCGAUCGUCAGACUUGGGUAUAGGGGCGAAAGACUAAUCGAACCAUC
rnacentral:rRNA from 1 species